UUCACUGCUACAAUAGGGAGAGCAGCAACAAGAAUGAAGAUGAAAGAAGAGACGUGGAAGCCCGGAACAGAGCCUAUGUGAGAUACAGCAAGAGACUGAUUUCCAAGGACUGCAUUACUUAACCAAAAAAAAUAUAUAUAUAAAUUAGCCAAAGCAUUGUGUGGAUUUUGUAAUCCCCAAAACUGUUCUAUUGUUGCAAAGCCAAUACAUUAAACAGGCUAUUGGUAAAAAACUUUUCAAAAAUA